CGCAUGGCUGCACUGAUUCACUCUGAAGUGCAUCCACUCUCACUGUGCUACUCUCAGCUAACCUCAGCUUCUUUUAUAGCCUGAUACUCUGCCUCUCUCUCCACGUGACUCUGGGAUUAUUUCUGUCCACCAAAAUGAAGCUGAGAGAGAAACAGAAGGGCUGCAGGAGCACAGAGAGGGAAUAACAGGAACAGAAUAAGCUUCUGAAAUCUUUUAUACUUCCUGACAGUUUGAUAAACAUCUGUGAUAAUUAGUCAGACAUGAACGAUGUGUUUGCAGAGCACAGAAAUAGUUUGAUCAUCCUCACUUGCUGGCAUGGCUCCAUCGCAGCAGGAACACCGUCAGCCCUCAGGCGCUAUUUGCUCUGCUGUCAUCAUGUCCCCAUAAUCCCUGCUCUGCAGAGGACCCUGCACAUGUUCUGGUACAGCUUGAGGAACUGUAUCGCUCUUUGAUGAUUAGGAGUUGAGAGCAGCUUCAGGAAUAUAAAGCUGGCGUCAGGUCACGGUGAGGCGAUCUCAGCCACAGCUGGAAACAGCAGCAUGAUGAUGCCGACUCUGUCUGCUGUAGCGAGGAGGGAGCCAAGUGACCCACAAAAUGAGAUCGAGCAGUGGAAAUCUUCCGAGGGCUCGUGCUGAGUAAGGAGCUGGCUGAUCCAGGAGCAGUGCUUCAGCCACUGAGCUGGAUGCCUCCUGGACCUGGGUGAGGUGUUUUUCCACUGAGGCUGACUCUGGCAGAGGGAGGGACCCUCACAGAUGGACCGACGCCCACUGACUGAUGUUUUCAAAACACAUGUAUUAGGCUGAGCUUGAAUAUAAUAACUAACAUAUUACUGUAGGUGGCGUCCAAUGGUGGACCAGAGUGCAGAGCAUGAAGCUGGUGUCUGAACGCAUCCUGGUCUGUGAUGAUGUGAAGCCUCAAUCUCUCAGUCAUUUACUCUGAAACACGCUCAGUCACUGAAUACACUAGAAUAUUUUACAUCUCUACUCUCACUCCCACGGUCACAGCAGGAAGCCAGGGUCCAGAGGAGCCGUCUGACUGAUUGAGAGGAAACAUUUUCUCAAAAUGUUUCCCUCGUCUGUUAUUGAUCAGCUCAGUGUUUAACUGUCUUUAACAGUGUUUGUGGAGAUACUUGACCCAAACCCUCAGCCUCGACCUGUCUUUGUUGCCCCUGUUGGGGGAAUAUUUGCUCUCUGUGCUGCGGCGGCUCACCCACGUAUACUGAAGGUGACAAAGAGCUUGGCUGGGUCUGCACUCUGAGAAACGAGGCUGGGGUUCAAGCUUCACCAUGGAAACGAACCAGCAAACGCAUUUUCUGUAAGAAGAUGAAGGACAGCAGCAUGAUGUGUUUGUCACAGUUGAGAUCACAGACAGAUGUGGACAGAGGUUCAGUCCCAACAUAACAGGAUGUUCUGCUUUAGUCGUUGCUUUUUGGUGGAUUUUGUUUUGCACAAGAGUGACAAGAAUGACUCAGAAUGCUCUUCUCUCCCAGACUGAGCUCAUUUUAGUUUGAUUUGAGCCUUUUAGCUCCAGAGUCAGCCAAGAGGCAAAACAUCAAAGUAAAAUCAAAUGUUUCUGCAAAUCUCAUAAAAGAAAUAAAAUGAGGUGAUCAGCCUGGGUCCAUUCUCAGAGCAGCUCACCUGAGCUCACCUGCAUCACAGUAGGCUCAGCCAAAGAAGAAAGAGGCCCACAACAGAGAACUGCAACCUGUGAAAAAAACUUCCUGGAAAUAAAAUGGACUGUCUCCAUACAGAUCCUGAUGUGAUGGAGGACUCUCAGCUGUAUUUCAUGCUGUUUAACUAAAGUAUUGCAGUAACUGUUCUGGGGUUACGGCCAUUGUACACAUAUACGUAACACACAAUGCUGUCCGUAAACAUUUGGACCUGAGCACUUUUAAGUGAAGCUGUGAGCUCGCUCUGUUCUCUGGAGUCUGCAGGUCUGCGGUGAUCCUGGAGCUGGAUCCUGAACCAAGUGCAGGAAGCGUCUGUGGAUUCAUUGCAGGCUGAAACACGUUCAGCGAAGGCGUGCUCUCUGUUCACUCUGCUUUGUCACCGUGAGGCCGUUACCUGCACAAAGGCUAUGUUUGCACUAUCACACCUGCUCUGACCUUUGUCCUCACACACAGCAAAAGACCAAAAGUGAAUGUAAAAGCUUUGCUGCUCUAUGAGCACACUCUGAGAUUACAGCAGACUCGGACCGUGAUAGGAUGACUGGACUUCACAGGUCAUUACAGGCUCCUCCUCAAACAUGGAAAGUACAGAGAGGCUGAAAGAGGCGGAGCCUGAAUUUCAUCCAGCACGCUCAUAGCUCACCGCUGCAGCACUCUCGCUUUUACUCUGCCAAUAUUAGUGUCAGCUACAUUCUGUAUUUUUGUGCCGUUUAGGAAUUGUGGGAAAAAGUCACACUGAUGAUGUAGAGGUCUCAAAUACUCACCGAUGCACACGGGCGGCUGCUGUGUCUGCUUCGGACUAUUCCUCACCCCACACCCAACCCUGUGGCUUGUCACGUGUUCCAUAAUGUUGUGCUGUGGACAUUUAUGUGCUUUUUUUUGUGCAGAGGAGUUUUUUUGUUUCCUGUUCUCAUGCUGUCCUCCCAUGGGAGCCCAGCAUGAGUAGAGGUUUCUUUUUUUCCUCUUGUACUUUCCCAUUGUAGUGUACAUUUCAGUGACUGAUCUCCGACUUGUAUCCCCAUGUAAUGUC